UGCCAGCAGCCGCGGUAAUACGGAGGGUGCAAGCGUUGUUCGGAAUUAUUGGGCGUAAAGCGGGUGCAGGCGGCCGGGCAAGUCGGAUGUGAAAUCCCUGGGCUCAACCCAGGAACUGCAUUCGAAACUGCUCGGCUAGAGUCUCGGAGAGGGUGGCGGAAUUCCCGGUGUAGAGGUGAAAUUCGUAGAUAUCGGGAGGAACACCAGUGGCGAAGGCGGCCACCUGGACGAUGACUGACGCUCAGACCCGAAAGCGUGGGGAGCAAACAGGAUUAGAUA
rnacentral:rRNA from 1 species